GAUGAACGCUAGCGGCAGGCUUAACACAUGCAAGUCGAACGGCAGCACAGGUAGCAAUACUGGGUGGCGAGUGGCGCACGGGUGCGUAACGCGUAUGCAACCUACCUCUAUCUGGGAGAUAGCCCGAAGAAAUUCGGAUUAAUACCCCAUAAUAUAUGUCUUUCGCAUGUUAGACAUAUUAAAGCUUUGGCGGAUAGAGAUGGGCAUGCGUGACAUUAGCUAGUUGGUAAGGUAACGGCUUACCAAGGCUACGAUGUCUAGGGGGUCUGAGAGGAUUAUCCCCCACACUGGUACUGAGACACGGACCAGACUCCUACGGGAGGCAGCAGUGAGGAAUAUUGGACAAUGGGCGAAAGCCUGAUCCAGCCAUGCCGCGUGCAGGAAGACGGCCCUAUGGGUUGUAAACUGCUUUUAUAUGGGAAUAAACCUCCGAACGUGUUCGGAGCUGAAGGUACCAUACGAAUAAGGAUCGGCUAACUCCGUG
rnacentral:rRNA from 1 species